rnacentral:lncRNA from 1 species
GGGUCUCCCGUCUUCGUCGUCGUCUGCCGCCAAGUGAAAUCUUCGCCUGCAUUAACGAGUUUUCCGUGACGCGUUGGAUAUGUUGUGGUUGUUGUUGUUGCUGUAGUUUCUUCAUGCUGCUGUUCUUCUUCUCCUUCUUAUUGCUCCUCUUCUUCUUCAGCUUCUUUCUCCGCUGCCCCUUCUCUGCUUGUCGUUUUCCUUAAGCCCCGCUGCUGGCUGCUCUUAUUCUUUUGCCACCGCUUUGCUUUUGCUACACUUGAUUUCCACACACACACACAGAGUGGAGAGUGGAUAAGAGAGAGAGAGAGCAAGUGAGAGAAGCGAUCGACCUGCACUGCGUUCGGGGACGGACUCUUAUCCUCCUGUGAUUUGCUCGCUUUUCUCUCUCCCUCUCUCUCUCUCUCUCUCUCUGUCGCUGUCAUUCUGUUCUCUGGCGAUCAGGUUACCUGC